rnacentral:lncRNA from 10 species
CUGACUCAUCCUGAGCCACCAGUUCUGUAACCGCCCUUCCCACCAAACUACUUACCCCACCACUCUGGCUCAUACUCCUGCUGUUUUUUAAAAGAGCCAAUUGGAAUUAGCUUAGACUGUGCAGUCCAACAGACUGUGCAGUCCGACCCUAGCCAAUGGGGGAGUGACACAGCAGUAGAGGCUACCUGCAUCAGGAAUAAGAACCUCUUCCCCUCCUCUGUCCAGGUGUGCUCUCGCCAUUGUUCCAUCUGCAAGGAGCACUCUUUCUGCAGAAGGGACCUAUUCUCCUCUGGGGGUAGUCUCCAGUCCUCUCUCCUAAGGAGGUGCCCUGCUGCCUCAUUGCUGUGGCCUCAGCGGUGAGGAAUUGAGACCCACCUGCUGUGCUGAAUAAACCCGGACUCUCAGCAAUGCGGAAAGAAACCGGCUGGUGACCUGAAGUAAAGGAUCCUCACAUACUACGUGGACCAGACAACCUCGUGCACAAGCCAAGGAAGGAAACACUGGAGGAGCUGGUAAAGUAUUUCCUUGGUGGUCAAGACUAAGGAAAGAAAAAACACAGGGGCAAUGAAGCAUUCCUUGAUUGGGACAUACCAAGGAAAGAGAAGCUGCAGGGGUGGUAAGGCAUUCCUUAGUUGGGACUAAAGAAAGAAAAUCCAUGGGGGGCAGUGAAGUAUUCCUUGGUCAGGAGGUUAAAAAGAGGUGAGACAUUUCUAGUAAGGGAAAUUGAGCCUCAUCCCAAAAGGCAAGACAUUUCCUGUAAGGGAAUUGAGCCUCACCCCAAAAUGUGAAACAUUUCUGGUAAGGGAAAUUGAGCCUCACCCAAAAAUGGAAAAUACCCCAAGUAAGGUAAAGGAUAAAGCUAACAACAAUAAUAUUCCCCCUAAUAAUCCCCUAGGCCUAAUGUUAAAAUAUUAGAAGGAUAAAAAAAAUCUUAUAAAGAGAGAGAGAGAGACAGAGAGUCAAAGAGAGAGAGAAAGAGUAAUAAAGUGAAAGCAACGUACCUAUUCCUUUAAAAGCCAGGGUAAAUUUAAAACCUGUAAUUGAUCAUUGAAGGCCUUCCCCGUGACCCUAUAACACUCCAUUACUGCCUGUAAAGAAGGCAGGUGGGUCACACCAGUUAGUGCAAGACCUUAGAGCUAUUACUCAGAUAGUCCAAAUUACCCACCCUGUUGUUAUGAUAAUAGAUUUAAAAAAUGUCUUCUGGGCUUGUCCAUUCACAGAGGACAACCAGGACCUAUUUGCCUUUGAGUGAGAAGACCCUCACUCCAAUUGAAAAUAGCAAUACUGAUAGACAGACAGUCUUACCCCAAGGGUUUACACUCUCCAAAUUUAUUUAGUCAAAUAUUAGAACAAGUCAUUUAAUUAGCAAAGGUAAACAGCAAAUUGAGCUUGAACAGAUUGAAGGCAUCAUAUCCUUGCCUCUGCCAGAGACUAAACAAGAGCUUAGAAAAUUUUAAGAUUAGUUGGGUACUGUCAUCUAUGGAUAGACUCUUAUGCCCUAAAAACAAAACCCUUAUACAAAAAGCUCACACAAGAUGGGCCCAACCCCCUCAUUUGGCAAUUACCAGAAAUCCAACAGGUGGAAAGGUUAAAACAACUAUUAGUAACUGCCCCUGUCCUAUUUUUGCCCUCCUUAAGCAGCCAGUCCAUCUUGUUUUCAGUGUAAACAAGGGCAUAGCCUUAGAAAUACUUACCCAAGAGCACGGAGGCCACUGACAACCUAUAGCCUUCCUAUCAAAAAUUCUUAACCCAGUAACCCGCAGAUGGCCCAAAUGCAUUCAGUCUUUAGCUGCAACUGCUUUGCUAACAGAAGAAAGUAGAAAAAUAACUUUUAGAGGAAACCUCAUUGUGAACACACCUCAGCAAUUCAGAGCUAUCCCAAGUCAAAAAAAGCAAAAAGGUAGCUUACUGACUCAAGAAUCUUAAAAUAUGAUGCUAUUCUGUUAGAAAAGUAUGAUUUAAUAUUAACCACUGAUAAUUCACUUAACCCAGCAGGUUUCCUAACAGGGGAUCUAAAUCUUAAUUAAUUACCAUACAAAGGCCCAACCAGACCUAAGAGGAACUCCCUUCAGGAUGGGAUGACACUUAUUUAUUUAUAGGUGGUGCCACCUGGGUGAUUGAGGGAAAAAGACCCAAUGGGUAUUCAGUAAUUGAUAGGGAAACUCUUGUAGAAAUGGAGUUAGGAAAGUUGCAUAAUAAUUGGUCUGCUCAAACGUGUGAGCUGUUUGCACUCAGCCAAGCCUUAAAGUACUUACAGAACCAGGGAAGAACCAUCUAUACCAAUUCUAAGUAUGCCUUUGAAGUGGCUUAUACAUUUGGAAAAAAAAAAGUUUAGACUGAACGAAGUCUUAUUAAUAGCAAAGGAUAAUUAAAAUCCCAAACUUACAAGAUUUUCAACAGAAGUAAAGUUAGCUACAAGUUAACAGUGUAACAUGUAUUAUCCUAAUUUCCAAUCUUGUGGCCUUAGGCAGUCUAGUGCCCGGACAUGAAGGAAGUUCACUUUGGAAAAGAACAGUUAUCAUCUUUGACAAAAAAAAGGGGGGGAGUGGAGAAUUUAUGUAAAAGAAAUGUUAUAUGGUAAAUUCUUGUCCUAAAAUAGAUUAACUGGUUGUUUAAAGAAAGUGAUGUUUACAAGUCAGAAAGUUGAGGCAUGUCGAAGACUGUCUGUGAAAGUCAUGAAAAAUGCUAUAAAAGGGAAUUUAUGCAAGAAUUGUUGUAUAAUUUAAAAGUAAUUAGGCCUCCUGAAUGUAAAAUUAUUGAAGAAACAGUUUAUGUGCAAGGUGUGUAAGGAAAGUAAAACAUACUUUUGGUAAAGGAGUUAUAAGGAGGCAGAAGAAUGUGAAUUUUUACCUACAUUAAAAGGUUAAAAAAAUUGUUUUGAAGGUUUAAGCAAAUUUUGAAAUGUUAAUUGUAAAGGAAAUUCUGUGUGUAAACAUAUUGCUAAAGUUAAAGGGGUAUCAUACAGUUUUUCUGUGAACUGGACAUUAAAAGCAUGACAGUUUUUUUUAAAGCACUAAACUGCUCUUUAACAAAAAUUAUAAAGGGUUAAAAAGAGUCUGUAAAAAUCUUACCUUAUGGUCAGACAUUAAAAUUGGAUAAAUAAUGUCUACAAGGUUUUAUAAAAAUUGAGUUUAACAUUAAUAACACACUAAUAUAAAGGUAAAAUUUAGCUUAUCUGGUAUAAAAUCAUACAGGAAGCACUGUCAAAUAUAAAAUGACAUUUGGCUUUCUUUGGUCUAAAAACCAAUAAAAAUAGGUGCUAAAAAAAAAUUCAGAAGGAAAAAGGAUAUUGCUAAACCAGAGAAAAUUGUUAUCCAAACCUCUUAUGAGGGAAAUCCUGUUCCAACUGCAUUGAGGGACCCAUUGGGGACCCCAAGGCAUGUGUGAUGUAGUUCUCAGAAACUAAAGGUCUUUCAGCACAGGUGCCACCCCUAGCAUUUCCAGCACACCAGCAUCAGCCUGGGGACCACGUCGUUGUCAAAAGUUAGAGAGAAGGAAAACUUGAACUGGCAAAGGACCUUACCUAGUGCUCCUAACUACCGAAAUGGCAGUCUGGACAGCAGAAAAAGGAUGGACCCAUCACACCCAAGUCAAGAAAGUGCUGCCCCCUCCAGAGUCAUGGGCCGUAGUCCCAGGAGAAAACCCUAUCAAACUAAAGAUAAGAAAAAUUUAACUCCUUUCAUCUAUUCUGUUACUCCUUCUUCUUUCCUUGCUCUAUUGCUGACUACCUAGUUAUUAAUGUAACCAAGUCAAUUUUGCCUCAAACUAUUACAUUUGAUGGUUGCCUUGUUAUACCCUGUGGAGAUUUGCCAAGUUAGGGGCAACUCUCCACUUCAGAAAACUAUCUUUAUCCUUCCUAGCUCUCCUCAGACUAAAAAUCUGUUAACUGGGAUAAGUUAGUUUGAGAAGAGUUUGAUGAAGAUUCCAGUAUAAACUGGAAAUCUUGUCCUCCUAGAGCAGAGCUUCUCUGCCAAACUUGGCUCAAUGCUCUAUAAAAUACUAAAGAGCAAGGAUGGACCACACUAACUAGUACUUGCAGUUUCUUAAAACCAUAUAUUCAUUUUACUAAAGGAGCUAUCCCUCCCCACUGUCAGCUAAACCAAUGUAAUCCAGUACAGAUUACCAUCUCUGUUCCCCAGAGUUCUUCCCCUUCAUUAAACCAUUUCUAUGGUAUAGGAGCAGAAGUCUCAGGAUCCUUUGAAAUGUGCUUCAUUUCCUCCUCACUUCCUGUACCCUUUUCUCCCUCUCCUAAGUUCUCCUCUAACCAACAUUCUCUUGUUAUAUACCCAAUGAUAAAACCAAACUAGUUGUUGUAGAGGUUAACUAUUUAAAACAAACUAUAGCAAUUGAAACAGGGUAUCAGGAUGCAAAUGCUUGGCUGGAAUGGAUAAAAUAUUCUGUUUGCACGAUAAACAAAAGUGACUGUAACGCUUGUGCGAUAGGCAGGCCAGAGACCCAGAUUGUUCCCUUUCCACUUGGGUGGUCCUCUCAGGGACCUGGCAUGAGCUGUAUGGUAGCUGUCUUCCAGAACCCCACAGCCUGGGGCGAUGAGUCAUGCAAGGCUCUUUUACUGCUGUUCUCUGAGGUUAAGAGCCCUGUGGGUCAGCCCUCAAGGGCCUUCUGGCCUCCAGCCCCUGAUGUUAACUUCACCUCAUUCCUUUCACAGCAGGGGAAAAAGUUAGCAUUCCUUGAAGAUUUAACAGGGUGCAGUGUAACCAAGCCUUUCCAAGAGCUUACCAAUCAGUCUGUCCUUGUUCAUCCCUGAGCAUAAGUGUGGUGGUAUCAUGGGGGACUAUUGCUGGAUACUCUGCCAAGUUAUUAGAGCAGCACUUGUGCUCUAGUCCAAUUCACCAUCCCUUUCACUCUAGCAUUUCAUCAACAUGAUUACAAAAAAAGAGAGAAAAUCAUAAAAGAAGAAGUGCCCUAUAUGGGUCCUUUGACCCCCAUGUUUAUGUAAAUGCUAUUAGAGCUCAAUGAGGAGUGCCAGAUGAAUUUAAAGCCCAUGAUCAAAUAGCUUCAGGAUUUCAGUCAAUAUUCUAGUGGGUAAAAAUUAAUAAAAAUGUAGACUGGAUGAAUUACAUCUAUUAUGAUCAACAGUGGUUUAUUAACUACACUAGAGAUGCUGCUAAAGAAAUAGCAAUGCAAUUAGGGGCUACUAGCCAGAUGGCUUGGGAAAAUAGAAUAGCCUUAGACAUUAUAUCAGCAGCAGAAGGAGGAGGAGUUUGCAUCAUGAUUAAAACUCAAUAUUGUACCUUCAUCCCAAACAAUACUGCCCCUGAUGGAAGUAUAACAAGGCAUUGCAAGGUCUAACUGCUCUGUCCAAUGAGUUAACCAAAAACUCAGCGGUAAGUGACCCCUUUAAAAGGUGCCUAGAAAAAUCAUUCAGUAAAUGGAAAAAAAAAAUCAUAGCCUCAGUUCUUACUUCUCUCACAGCCAUAGUAGGCGUAUUCAUUCUUGUUGGGUGUUUUGUCAUACCAUGCAUCCGUGGGCUGGUUCACAGACUCAUACAGGCAGCACUUACUAAAACCUCCCUUAAUUCUCCUCCACCUUAUUCAGAGAAGCUUUUUCUUUUAGAGAAUCAUGCAGAACAACUAAGCCAAGACAUUUUAAGGAAGUUUGAAGAGAAGGAACUGUAAAAAUUCAAGAUGAAGAACUGUUAAAUAUAGUGAACCCCAAGUUUCUAUUCAAAGAAUCAGUAUGUCAGUAUGUUCAGCUCUCUUAUUGAUUCUCCAUUUUAAAGUUUAACUUCCUGGUUCCCUUUGCCCCCUCCCUUCUAAUUUCAGUAAACAACUUUCCCACCAGUCCUAAUCAGUAGUUCACAUCUCUUCCCCUGGUCACCUGCUUUGAUAUGACUCACCCCUGGUCACCUGCUCCAUCCUGACUCAUCCUGAGCCACCAGUUCUGUAACUGCCCUUCCUGCCAAACUACAUGCCUCACCACUCUGGCUCAUACUCCUGCUCUUUUUUAAAAUAGCCAGUUGGAAUUGCUUAGACUGUGCAGUCCAACCUAGCCAAUAGGGGAAUGACACAGCAGUAAAGGCUAUCUCCAUCAGGAAUAAUAACCUCUUCUCCUCCUCUGUCCAGGUGUGCUCUCACCAUUGUUCCAUCUGCAAGGAGCACUCUUUCUGCAGAAAGUAAAAAUUGCCUUGCCGAGAAAAUUAAAUUUAUGUUUGAGUGCUAUUUCUUUGUGACACCAGGGAAAAAGCAUUUUGCAUUUCUAAUGUAAGGGAGAUGUGAGAAUAAGAGUCAGUAGUAGGAGUAGGAGAUGUGACAACAGAAGCAAGUGUUUGGAGUGAAAGAAGGAAGAGUUCAUGAGCCAAGGAAUGCAGGCAGCCUUUAGGAGGUGAAAUAGGCAGGAAAACAGAUUAUUCACUACAGUCUCUAGGAGAAAACAGACUUGACAUCUACUUGAUUUAUCUCACCUAGGGGUGUUUGCCAGCACCUCUACUAACACUACAUUAAUACAUUUGCAUUUCCCAAUGAAGAAGGUUGAAAGGUAUAAUGUAUAAUUUCCAUUUGGAUCUUCCCAUUAAUGUAAUACUCAUUUCCACUUUCUCUUCUAUUAUCUCUCUCAAUCAUUUCCCUAUGUUUCUAUCACCUUAGAGGUUUUGCUGCCAUAUUACUUGAUAGGAAAAUAACAAGUUUUAAUACAAGAUGUGUGAUAUGAGCCCAAUAUUGUAAUAAACAUUUAACCCUAUAUGUAUGUGUGCAUAAGUUACAUAUAUGUGUGUGUAUAUAUAUAUAUAUAUGCAUAUAUAUAAAAUGGGUAAAUACACAUAAUGUACACAGACAUAUAUAGAUGUUCAUGUACACCUGUAUCCACAUAUUAUCUUUAAAACGUAUUCCAAAAUGUAAGUAACUUCUUCUGGGAGAUGAGCUGUGAGAAGCAUAACAAAUUAUGUUACUUCUUAUUUCUUACAUUUCAAGUAGAAGACAGGAAAAGUGGUGAAUAUAAUUUAACAUAAGAUACUUAGUUGUCUAUUCUUUGGAGAUGACAUGAGGCUAAUUAUAUUUAGGACCAUAGCAUAAAAUUAUCAUCCCACUUAUGUUAAAAGUAAAAUAAUGUAGGAGAAGCUGAGAGAGAUUAAAUCUUUGUAAUUCUUCUUAGAAAUUUUGCCCAGCCAAGCAUGGUAGCUCAUGCCUGUAAUCCCAGCACUUUGGGAGUCCGAGAUGGGUGGAUCACUUGAGGUCAGGAGUUCAAGACUAGUCUGGCCAGCAUGGUGAAAUGCUGUCUCUACUAAAAAUACAAAAAUUAGCCUGGUAUGGGGGUUGGCACCUGUAAUCCCAGCUACUUGGGAGGCUGAAGCAGGAGAAUCACUUGAACCCUGGAGGUGGAGAUUGCAGUGAGCCAAGAUCAUGCCAUUGUACUCCAGCCUGGGCAACAAAAGCGAGACUACAUCUCAAAACAAACAAACAAACAAACAAAAACCAAAAAGAAAUUUUGUUUAUGUUUGAAGAGAGAAACAUGACAGAACACAUGAGCAGCGAUAUGAAAGCAUGUAUUUAUACUUCAUUACAUCAUUCUAAGUUGGAAACAUGAAGUAAUAAAAGUAAUCUGAUUCUUUAUUUAGAGAUAAAGUAAUGACACUUCAAAGUAACACCAGGCCAGGCGCAGUGGCUCACACCUGUAAUCCCAGCACUUUGGGAGGCUGAGGCAGGCAGAUCACAAGGUCAGGAGAUUAAGACCAUCCUGGCUAACACGGUGAAAACCCGUCUGUACUAAAAAUACAAAAAAUUAGCCAGGUGUGGUGGCAUGCACCUGUAAUCCCAGCUACUCAGGAGGCUGAGGCAGGAGAAUCACUUGAACCUGGGAGGCGGAGGUUAUAGAGAGCUGAGAUCACACCACUGCACUCCAGCCUGGGUGACAGAGCAAGACUUUGUCUCAAAAAAAAAGGAACACCAAUGUGGAUAUAAGAAUUCUAGCAUUUAAUGUCCAUUCCACCCUUUGACUGAUCCUCUGAAUAUUUCCCUAGAGGUUAGAGCUGCCCCUGGACACAGUUUCUCACUUUCAAAUCCAAUCCUCAAGUAACUCUAACACUCACCCAAAAUAGCUUCCCUACCCUCUUCCUCUUUGUCCUUUCUGUCCUUAUCAUUUUGAGAACCAGCAUGGCCUCCUGGAACUCUAUUUUCUUUAAUUUCUGACCUACAUUAUGCAUAAAAGAAGGAAGGUCUAAUAAACUGACUCAGCAAAUAAUAAUGCUUUUUAUUUAGAACAUGCAGAAAAGAAAUGCCUUUGAAUUAUAAUACACAAAUCAUAUUUCUCUAUUUAAUAAUAACAUAUUAAUAACUCAACAUUAGAUAAGUAUGAGCAUUAUGUGACAGUCAAUGCAACUGUUACAGAGUAUGGAGAAUAGCAGAUAUAUUU